CGAGGCUGGGGGAGCUUAGAGGGCUCACUCCGCCCCCCGGGGCCAACUUGCCAGCCUGCAGCCCCCUCUCUGGCCUCCGCCCAGGGCAGUACUGGGGUGGGAGGAGCAGGCCGCCCAUCACUCUCCCUGUCUGGUCUCCUCCAGGCCGGAGGCGUCUGGAGGUAAAUAUUAGGUCCUGUUUAGAUUAAACGCCACUAAUAGCAGGAAAUGUCACCUCAGGCGCCCGCCCUGGCUUCCUGGAGGCCUGAGGCGGGGCCAGGGCUCUGUCUGAGCUGGACACCCAGAGGAGGUCUGGCUGCAAACUCUGGCCCCGUCCCUCCCAUAGGGUCUCCUGCUCCUCCCUGUACUCAAGGACACUCCUGGGCUCUGUGUGCCAGGCUCCUCACCCCCCACUCCCCUCCUGGGGUCAGGAGGUGGGAUGAGGCCAUGUGGCAUGUGAAGAGAAGCCACCCUGGGGUCAGUCCUGCCCACGCCCACCCAUCCUCUGGGUCUGUGCUCCCAGCUCAUAGGAAACUGAGGCUCAGAGACAUGAUAAGAGCUCUUCAAGGCUCCCCAGUGUCACUUGAGGGGACAGGCUAGCAGUCCUGGCUCAGACCUGCGUGGCUCUAGGGUCAGGGCACACCUAACCCCCCCUCCCAGAAGCCACAGAAAGCUGUGGCCACAGACUGUCAGCAGGGCCACCUGGCUUUGGAGGGGUAUGCUCAUGUGCAGGGCGAGGAGGGGCAAGCCAGACUGGGAGGGCUCAGGGGCUAUCCUGGUGUGGCCAGGCCCUGGCCAGCCCUUGGCACAGGGAGCCUGGAGCCUGGUGGCAGAGCUGGGCUCUGGUCCCACCACACAGCAACGUGGUCAAGUGCAGGGCAGGGCCACUGGAGGGCCUCGUGGAGGAGGGCCCUCUCUUUCUCCUGGCCCUCACUGCCCACUGGGCAGGGCAUCUUUCCUCCUGGGCCCAGCUCCCACCCAGCCGGGCCUCCCCUUGAGGCCGUGGUGCUGGGAGCGUCGGGUGCCCCUCACUGCCCAGGCAGCAGGGCUCAUUUUAUGAUGAAGGAUCUGAGGACGACACCCCUCCCCACUGGACUGUGCAGCAGGCCCCAGCCCUGCCUUGGCACUGAGGCUCUGACCCAGGACCCAAGGCCUCGUCUUGCAGCUGCAGUUGGGAGUCUAACCCAGUUGGCAGGUGCCCCAGGAGUCGGGGCCUCCGACACCACGUGGGGCCUUGGCGGAGGCCUGCAGCACAGCUCCCCUGCCCUCUGGGCCUCUGUUGCCUCCUCUGUAAUCUGGAGGCGAGGCUCCCUAGCCCUGGCGAGCAAGGUGCUGCCCAUCAGGUCCUGCCCUCUCCCUCUGCCCCUCCAGGGCCUCUCACGCCCUCUGCCCACCCACCAGCCCACCGCUCAGACCCUCCAACUCCCAUCAGCAGCAAGGACUUGAACGGAAGGGCUCUCUGUGUUUGCAACCCCCCGAGGCUCUCGCCCCUCCCUCCACCCGGGCCUCCUGGGGCCCCAGCUGGGGAGAGGACAGGUGCACCGUCACUUGCCCUUCAUGGAAUCAUCAGCCAGGACUGUGGCUCUAGUACAUUCCUAGCAGGUCAGUGUCACCUGAGUCCCAGGUGUGCAGGCUGCUGUCCAGCCUCCCAGCGAGGGCUGCCCCCAGGCACAGCCAGACCAGGGGCCAGUCAGGCGCUGCCACAUCACCUACGGUUCCACGACGUCGCAGCGUGGCUGGUCAGGGAAAGCGCCAGUAUGCACGUGGGUAGGACUGCAGGCAUUGCCAGUCGCCCAGGUCCCAAGAGAGUGGGCACUGGCUCUCAGAGCCUGCUGUGCUGGGGGCUCCAAGGACAGGGUGGGCAUCACCCUCCUGGCCUGCCUGGUACCCACUGGAGGCCCAUCCUCCCCUGAGCAGCAGCGUGAAGACCACACACUUUACAGUCCACACACGAUUCUGCUGCUUAUCUCAGCAAAGAGGUGGGCACAGAGUGAGAACCCUGGGCCCAGGUCCCUCAAGACCUUCACACCCAAGGGCAGGCCCUCAGCAGCAGAGCCCAGGUCAGGUGGCGAGCGUAGGUAAAAGUGUACGUGAGCCCAUGCACGGCAGCUUCUCCAACCCCAGCCAGUCACAAAUCUUCCCUGAACCUCAGUUUCCUCUUCUUCCGGGGAGAAUAAUUGACUCACUCUGCCUUAAGAGGAGGCUGUGAGCUAAGUAGGAGAGUGUGUAUGCAUGUGUACGUCAGUCUAUGUGUCUGUGGGAGCCCAUGCACACUUGUGUGGUCGGUAUGUGUGCAUGGGUGUGAGUCCAUGCACGAAUGUGAUCUGGUAUAGGUGUGUGUGUGAUCAUGGGAGCCAUGCACACAUGUGGUCUGUGUGUAGGAAUGUGUCUGUGAGAAUCUUUGUGUAUGUCUGGGUGUGUGAGCCUGGGCAUGAGCACACGUGUGUGGCAUGUGUGUGCAUGCAUCUGUGCAUGUGAGUAUGUGUGUGGAUGUGUCUGCAUAUGUGAGUUGCGUAUAGGGGUACACCUGAGUGUGUGUGUGCACGUGUCUGUCUUGGGGUUUGGCCCCCCAUAACUCUUGAUUAUCUGAGCUAGUUAGGGGCAGAGGGCUGCCCCCAGGAGCCCCAGCACGUGCAAUCAUUACCCCUUCACUUCAGUCCCUCUGACCACUGUGGACAAUAUGGUUUAAGGUCUCUCCCCUCAGGACAUCUGCACACACACACACUCACAUACUCAGACACACUCAUGGUGAGCACAAUGGGGAGCCCCACUGGUGCUCGUCCCCCUGGGACACACCCUACUCCCCUGGGCUUCCCCUGAAAUCUACACACACAGGAGCACUGUCUGGGCUGGGUGCAGGUUUCCUGGGUUCCUGGAUGCUUAUGACCUUGGGCAAGUCCCUGCCUGCUGGCCACAGCUCUCAGGCUGGUGCACUGGGCACACGGCUAUGCGGAGGCCUCCAGAGCCAUGGGCCACCAGGUGGCGCUGCUGACCUGGAAGAGGUGAUGGAGGCAGCAGUCCACCCCCAGCCCCCAGAACCAGGCAACCCAGGGACACUGCUAGGGGAGCUGUGGCCUCACUUCUGGAGGACCCAGGCCCUGGGACUCAGCCACUUCAGAACAGUUUCUCCAUCCAUUUGCCCACCUGCCAGGUGUUAGGCAGGCUGGGAAGGGGCAGAAGAGCACAGUGACCAGCGUGUCUUCUCUCCUCCGACUCGCCCAGGCUGGGCAAGCUCCUUUACCCGCUGAGCCUGGGUGGAAUGAGGACAUCUCCACCGCAUGCCCACCCUGUGCAGGGGCCAGCACACACAGCAGAGAGGACAAUGAAUGGUCGGUGCCUGGGCUCCACGCCCUCUGCUCCUCACCAUCCUCAGACACGCCCCCUUCGAGGCGCCCUUCCCUGGCUGGAACAUGGGGUUGGGGAGAGCUGCUUCUGAUGGUGCCUCCGCGGGCCUCCUGGAGAAGGAGCAGGCCACACGGGAAGGGCGAGGGUGUGGGGGCAGCA
rnacentral:lncRNA from 1 species